rnacentral:rRNA from 1 species
UACAGAGGUCCCAAGCGUUGUUCGGAUUCACUGGGCGUAAAGGGUGCGUAGGCGGUCGGGUAAGUCUGAUGUGAAAUCUCACAGCUUAACUGUGAAACUGCAUUGGAUACUAUCCGGCUCGAGGAAUGGAGGGGAGACUGGAAUACUUGGUGUAGCAGUGAAAUGCGUAGAUAUCAAGUGGAACACCAGUGGCGAAGGCGGCGACCUGGUCCUUGACUGACGCUGAGGCGCGAAAGCGUGGGGAGCAAACAGG